GAUGGACGCUAGCUACAGGCUUAACACAUGCAAGUCGAGGGGAAACGGCAUUGAGUGCUUGCACUCUUUGGACGUCGACCGGCGCACGGGUGAGUAACGCGUAUCCAACCUUCCCAUUACUGUGGGAUAACCUGCCGAAAGGCAGACUAAUACCGCAUAGUCUUCGAUGACGGCAUCAGAUUUGAAGUAAAGAUUUAUCGGUAAUGGAUGGGGAUGCGUCUGAUUAGCUUGUUGGCGGGGUAACGGCCCACCAAGGCGACGAUCAGUAGGGGUUCUGAGAGGAAGGUCCCCCACAUUGGAACUGAGACACGGUCCAAACUCCUACGGGAGGCAGCAGUGAGGAAUAUUGGUCAAUGGACGGAAGUCUGAACCAGCCAAGUAGCGUGCAGGAUGACGGCCCUAUGGGUUGUAAACUGCUUUUGGAUGGGGAUAAAGUUAGGGACGGGUCCCUAUUUGCAGGUACCAUACGAAUAAGGACCGGCUAAUUCCGUG
rnacentral:rRNA from 1 species